rnacentral:rRNA from 1 species
CCUACGGGAGGCAGCAGUAGGGAAUCUUCCACAAUGGACGAAAGUCUGAUGGAGCAACGCCGCGUGAGUGAAGAAGGGUUUCGGCUCGUUAAGCUCUGUUGGUAGUGAAGAAAGAUAGAGGUAGUAACUGGCCUUUAUUUGACGGUAAUUACUUAGAAAGUCACGGCUAACUACGUGCCAGCAGCCGCGGGAAUACGUAGGUGGCAAGCGUUGUCCGGAUUUAUUGGGCGUAAAGCGAGUGCAGGCGGUUCAAUAAGUCUGAUGGGAAAGCCUUCGGCUCAACCGGAGAAUUGCAUCAGAAACUGUUGAACUUGAGGGCAGAAGAGGAGAGUGGAACUCCAUGUGUAGCGGUGGAAUGCGUAGAUAUAUGGAAGAACACCAGUGGCGAAGGCGGCUCUCUGGUCUGCAACUGACGCUGAGGCUCGAAAGCAUGGGUAGCGAACAGGAUUAGAUACCCUGGUAGUC